rnacentral:tRNA from 1 species
GGAAGUAUGUCCGAAAAUAGGAGCCACUUUGAUAGAGUGAUUACAGAGGUUUUAACCCUCUUUCUUCCU